rnacentral:rRNA from 1 species
UGAGGGGAAGGUUUUUUUUAGAAAUUUUGAAUUUAAAUUAAAAGUAAAAAUGCUUUUAUGAAUCUUUGGGACGAUAAGACCCUAGAAGCUUAAAAUAUAAAUUAUUUUUUAUUGGGGCAAUUUGGGAAGAAAAAAAUUUUUCUUUAAAAAAAAGUUACUCUAGGGAUAACAGCAUUAUUUAAUUAACAAGUUCUUAUUAAUAAUUAAGUUUGUGACCUCGAUGUUGAAUUAAUUUUUAGUUAUUUAUGGUGAAGGGGCUAUUUAAUUUCUAGUCUGUUCGACUAUUAAAAAAUUACAUGAUUUGAGUUCAAAUCGGUUUAAGCCAGGUC